rnacentral:lncRNA from 1 species
CCAUCCAAUCAUCGGAUCCUCAUCAUCAAUGGCAUAAUCAUCUAUCGUCAGAUCCAUAUACUUCAGCUGUAUUUCAUCCUAUACAUAUUUUAGCCUCAAUCUCAAAUUAUAGUGCACAUAAACAAGAUCGUUGAGGUGCUUCUGUAUCGGAUAAUUUCUCUGUUUGCUAUGAAUAAGAACAAAAGUCGACCAAUUGCGCUCACACCCACUUGAGGAGACCGUUUGAGAAAGAAUGCAGAUGGCCAUACUUUUCAGAUUUGAUGCGGACUGUCCAAAAUGAAUCCACCAUUUAGCUGUUAAAAAAUUAAACAAAAUUACAUAUCAGAUUUUAUGGUAUUAGCAGGCAUGUAAUUUCAACAAAAUCCUUACUGUUGAUAUGUAAUUUAUCUGGAUUCAUCUUUUUUUUGCUUACGACAGCCGAUGAAACACCAAAGCUGCAUGUCGCCUCUCUAAAC